rnacentral:rRNA from 1 species
UUCGUACUGUGAAGCAUCCUGUUAAGUCAGGCAACGAGCGAGACCCACGCCCACAGUUGCCAGCGUACUCUCCGGAGUGACGGGUACACUGUGGGGACCGCCGCUGCUAAAGCGGAGGAAGGAAUGGGCAACGGUAGGUCAGUAUGCCCCGAAUAUCCCGGGCUACACGCGAGCUACAAUGGUUGGUACAAUGGGUAUCUACCCCGAAAGGGGACGGGAAUCUCCUAAAACCAAUCUUAGUUCGGAUUGAGGGCUGCAACUCGCCCUCAUGAAGCUGGAAUCCGUAGCAAUCGCGUUUCAACAGAACGCGGUGAAUACGUCCCUGCUCCUU